rnacentral:rRNA from 1 species
CUACGGGGGGCUGCAGUGGGGAAUAUUGCACAAUGGAGGAAACUCUGAUGCAGCAACGCCGCGUGGGGGAUGACACUUUUCGGAGCGUAAACUCCUUUUAUAUAGGAAGAAGAUGACGGUACUAUAUGAAUAAGCGCCGGCUAACUCCGUGCCAGCAGCCGCGGUAAUACGGAGGGCGCAAGCGUUACUCGGAAUCACUGGGCGUAAAGAGCGUGUAGGCGGAUUAAAAAGUCAGAAGUGAAAUCCUAUAGCUUAACUAUAGAACUGCUUCUGAAACUCUUAAUCUAGAAUAUGGGAGAGGUAGAUGGAAUUUCUGGUGUAGGGGUAAAAUCCGUAGAGAUCAGAAGGAAUACCGAUUGCGAAGGCGAUCUACUAGAACAUUAUUGACGCUGAGACGCGAAAGCGUGGGGAGCAAACAGGAUUAGAUACCCGGGUAGCC